rnacentral:rRNA from 1 species
GUUGUAUAGUCAAGUAAUUAAGUGCAUGUGGUGGAUGCCUUGGCAGUCAGAGGCGAUGAAAGACGUGAUAGCCUGCGAAAAGCUCCGGGGAGGCGGCAAAUAUCCUUUGAUCCGGAGAUGUCUGAAUGGGGGAACCCACCUACUUUAAGGUAGGUAUUGCAACAUGAAUACAUAGUGUUGCAAGGCGAACGAGGGGAAGUGAAACAUCUCAGUACCCUUAGGAAAAGAAAUCAAUUGAGAUUCCCUCAGUAGCGGCGAGCGAACGGGGAUCAGCCCAUUAAGUUAUGUGUGUUUUAGUGGAACGCUCUGGGAAGUGCGAACGUAGAGGGUGAUAUUCCCGUACACGAAAGGGCACACAUAAUGAUGACGAGUAGGGCGAGGCACGUGAAACCUUGUCUGAAUAUGGGGGGACCAUCCUCCAAGGCUAAAUACUCCUGACUGACCGAUAGUGAACCAGUACCGUGAGGGAAAGGCGAAAAGAACCCCUGUGAGGGGAGUGAAAUAGAUCCUGAAACCGCAUGCAUACAAGCAGUGGGAGCACCUUCGUGGUGUGACUGCGUACCUUUUGUAUAAUGGGUCAGCGACUUAUAUUCAGUAGCAAGGUUAACCGUAUAGGGGAGCCGUAGAGAAAUCGAGUCUUAAUAGGGCGUUUAGUUGCUGGGUAUAGACCCGAAACCAGGCGAUCUAUCCAUGAGCAGGUUGAAGGUUGGGUAACACUAACUGGAGGACCGAACCCACUGUCGUUGAAAAGCCAGGGGAUGACUUGUGGAUAGGGGUGAAAGGCUAAUCAAGCCUGGUGAUAGCUGGUUCUCCCCGAAAGCUAUUUAGGUAGCGCCUCGGACGAAUACCAUAGGGGGUAGAGCACUGUUUCGGCUAGGGGGUCAUCCCGACUUACCAAACCGAUGCAAACUCCGAAUACCUAUGAGUACUAUCCGGGAGACAGACUGCGGGUGCUAACGUCCGUAGUCAAGAGGAAAACAAUCCAGACCGCCAGCUAAGGCCCCAAAAUCAUAGUUAAGUGGGAAACGAUGUGGGAAGGCAUAGACAGCUAGGAGGUUGGCUUAGAAGCAGCCACCCUUUAAAGAAAGCGUAAUAGCUCACUAGUCGAGUCGGCCUGCGCGGAAGAUGUAACGGGGCUAAAACUAUGUGCCGAAGCUGCGGAUNUUGACAUUAGUCAAGUGGUAGGGGAGCGUUCUGUAAGCCGAUGAAGGUGUAUUGAGAAGUAUGCUGGAGGUAUCAGAAGUGCGAAUGCUGACGUGAGUAACGACAAAACGGGUGAAAAACCCGUUCGCCGAAAGANCCAAGGGUUCCAGUCCAACGUUAAUCGGGGCUGGGUGAGUCGACCCCUAAGGCGAGGCCGAAAGGCGUAGUCGAUGGGAAAAUGGUUAAUAUUCCAUUACUUCUGUGUAAUGCGAUGAGAGGACGGAGAAGGCUAAAUCAGCCUGGCGUUGGUUGUCCAGGUGAAAGGAUGUAGGCAUGUAUCUUAGGCAAAUCCGGGGUACUCUAUGCUGAGAUCUGAUAGCAAGCUGUACUUGUACAGCGAAGUGGUUGAUGCCAUGCUUCCAGGAAAAGUCUCUAAGCUUCAGUUACACAGGAAUCGUACCCGAAACCGACACAGGUGGUCAGGUCGAGUAGACCAAGGCGCUUGAGAGAACUCUGCUGAAGGAACUAGGCAAAAUGGUACCGUAACUUCGGGAGAAGGUACGCUGUUGUUGGUGAUGGAACUCGCUUCCUGAGCUGACGACAGCCGCAGAAACCAGGCCGCUGCAACUGUUUAUUAAAAACAUAGCACUCUGCAAACACGAAAGUGGACGUAUAGGGUGUGAUGCCUGCCCGGUGCUGGAAGGUUAAUUGAUGGGGUUAGCGUAAGCGAAGCUCUUGAUCGAAGCCCCAGUAAACGGCGGCCGUAACUAUAACGGUCCUAAGGUAGCGAAAUUCCUUGUCGGGUAAGUUCCGACCUGCACGAAUGGCAUAAUGAUGGCGGCGCUGUCUCCAGCAGAGGCUCAGUGAAAUCGAAAUCGCUGUGAAGAUGCAGUGUACCCGCGGCUAGACGGAAAGACCCCGUGAACCUUUACUGCAGCUUGACACUGAACUUUGACCUUACUUGUGUAGNAAAACGUUGGACGCAUUAAAAAUAAAAAAAAAAUUCCAGUGGAGCCGUCCUUGAAAUACCACCCUGGUAAUGUUGAGGUUCUAACUCUGUCCCGUGAUCCGGGACGNGAUAGGUGGGAGGCUUUGAAGCUGGAACGCUAGUUCCAGUGGAGCCGUCCUUGAAAUACCACCCUGGUAAUGUUGAGGUUCUAACUCUGUCCCGUGAUCCGGGACGNAGGACCGUGUCUGGUGGGUAGUUUGACUGGGGCGGUCUCCUCCUAAAGAGUAACGGAGGAGUACGAAGGUGCGCUCAGCGUGGUCGGAAAUCACGCGUAGAGUAUAAAGGCAAAAGCGCGCUUAACUGCGAGACCCACAAGUCGAGCAGGUACGAAAGUAGGUCUUAGUGAUCCGGUGGUUCUGUAUGGAAGGGCCAUCGCUCAACGGAUAAAAGGUACUCUGGGGAUAACAGGCUGAUACCGCCCAAGAGUUCAUAUCGACGGCGGUGUUUGGCACCUCGAUGUCGGCUCAUCUCAUCCUGGGGCUGAAGCAGGUCCCAAGGGUAUGGCUGUUCGCCAUUUAAAGAGGUACGCGAGCUGGGUUUAGAACGUCGUGAGACAGUUCGGUCCCUAUCUACCGUGGGCGCUGGAAAUUUGAGAGGAUCUGCUCCUAGUACGAGAGGACCAGAGUGGACGAACCUCUGGUGUACCGGUUGUGACGCCAGUCGCAUCGCCGGGUAGCUAUGUUCGGAAGGGAUAACCGCUGAAAGCAUCUAAGCGGGAAGCCUACCUCAAGAUAAGAUUUCCCUAGGACUUUAUGUCCUCUAAAGAGCCGUUCGAGACUAGGACGUUGAUAGGUUGGAUGUGGAAGCAUAGUGAUAUGUGAAGCUGACCAAUACUAAUUGCUCGUGAGGCUUGACUAUACAACACCCAAGCAGUUG